CACCUGGUCAGGCCCCCCGACAUUGGGA
rnacentral:sRNA from 1 species